GGGGGGAUAAAAACCGAAUGGAGAAGUAGAGAACGAAACCAUGGAAGGAAAAGGAAGGAAAUGGAAGAGAAAAAGAAAAAGAAUGGAGGGAUAUGUUCCAAUUUUACAAGGUAUUAUUGGUCCUUGAUAGUUUGAGGAGCCUAGUGGUUUUAGAAUUAGAGACACACGACAUAUUGAGUGAUAUGAUUCGUUUUGGUAAAACAUGAAGUAAUUAUUUCGGGCUUAUUGCAUUAUAUUUUUCAUAAACGUUUGAUUUUGGUCAAUAUUUUAUGGCAGCUCAUAGUUAGCCUUGGUGAUAGAUCUGGCAUUUAGUCAGCAUCUACUAUCGGCGCAUAUCACGUUUUCGGUCCAUUAGAGUGAUUCGAGAUGGAUCAUGUCACCAAAAAAUCCAAUUGUGUAUGACAGUUUGAACAGCAAAGGACGAUUAAUCAAGUCCGACAACAAUUUUUCCAGCAAGCCUUACAAGGAGUCUUCUAAUGAGGAAUAAGGACACAUUUACUAAUUGAAAAUGGUAUUUCGAAGCGAUGAGUCUUUACUCCACAAGGUGUCUCUUAUAGCUUCACCUCAUACAAAAGAUCUUUCGUACGAGAUCUAUCAUACGACUGGUUCAUUUGACAUAUCUACAUCUAGAGGUGGGCAAAAAAAUUUGAAAAACCGAUUGAACCAAAUCAAGUCGAGUUGAUUUGAACCAAAAAAUCGGUUUAGUUGGGUUAACCAUUAUAAAGUCAAGUUAGGUUUAUUUCGGUUUAAGAAAUCAACCCUUCAAUUAACCAUUCUAACCCAAUGAUAAUUUUUUCUUUUCAUUUGAAAA